rnacentral:rRNA from 1 species
AGUGAACGCUGGCGGUAGGCCUAACACAUGCAAGUCGAACGGCAGCACAGUAAGAGCUUGCUCUUACGGGUGGCGAGUGGCGGACGGGUGAGGAAUACAUCGGAAUCUACUUUUUCGUGGGGGAUAACGUAGGGAAACUUACGCUAAUACCGCAUACGACCUACGGGUGAAAGCAGGGGAUCUUCGGACCUUGCGCGAUUGAAGGAGCCGAUGUCGGAUUAGCUAGUUGGCGGGGUAAAGGCCCACCAAGGCGACGAUCCGUAGCUGGUCUGAGAGGAUGAUCAGCCACACUAGAACUGAGACACGGUCCAGACUCCUACGGGAGGCAGCAGUGGGGAAUAUUGGACAAUGGGCGCAAGCCUGAUCCAGCCAUACCGCGUGGGUGAAGAAGGCCUUCGGGUUGUAAAGCCCUUUUGUUGGGAAAGAAAAGCAGCAGGUUAAUACCCCGCUGUUCUGACGGUACCCAAAGAAUAAGCACCGGCUAACUUCGUG